rnacentral:rRNA from 1 species
ACCCUACGGGAGGCAGCAGUGGGGAAUAUUGCACAAUGGAGGCAAGCUUGAUGCAGACACACCGGGUGUAUGAAGAAAGGCAGCGGGAUUUAAACGCAUGCAGCGGGAGUCCUGCGGGAGGCAGCAGACUCCUGGGAGGCAGCGAUCUGCGGAGU